rnacentral:miRNA from 1 species
ACAGUGAAAUUUUGUAGAGA